GGUGUGCAGAAUCUACUCCAAAAGUGACCCGAGAGCCUCAAAAAUGAACACCCCAGUCUCCCCACUGCUGCUCCUAUUUCUGAGGGCAUCCUCCCUCCGGGCAUCCUAAGACAUAUGCGGCCGGAGAUGGGUACUGGCGGUUUGGCCUCGAUGGACGGGACUACCUCACCCUGGACUCCACAAUGCUGACUUGGACGGCUGGUGACACCGGAUCCUUACCUGGCAAGGAAUUAUGUGAUGCAGACAGGAGCUAUACAGAGGGAAGCAAGGACAUUUUGGAGCGGACAUGUCCCAACUUACUCCGGCUUGCUUAUUUGCAGCAAAACAAUAAAAGCCUGUCAUGAGACUAAACAGAGCUUGUUGAUGUGCAAGUGCUGUCUUUGGUCAUUAUUUUUAACAAAGCUACACAAGCUUUGUGUACAGUUAGUGUUUACUGUCCUUCCCCACUAGAGUGUGAGCUACUCUAAGAUGUAGUAGUGGGCUUUUCCCUCACAGGUUGUAUAGUGCAUACUGCUUGGUGUAUAAAUAAAUCUCUCUGUCCUAUUUGCA